rnacentral:rRNA from 1 species
GAUGAACGCUAGCGGGAGGCCUAACACAUGCAAGCCGAGCGGUAUUGUUUCUUCGGAAAUGAGAGAGCGGCGUACGGGUGCGGAACACGUGUGCAACCUGCCUUUAUCUGGGGGAUAGCCUUUCGAAAGGAAGAUUAAUACUCCAUAAUAUAUUGAUUGGCAUCAAUUAAUAUUGAAAGCUCCGGCGGAUAGAGAUGGGCACGCGCAAGAUUAGCUAGUUGGUGAGGUAACGGCUCACCAAGGCGAUGAUCUUUAGGGGGCCUGAGAGGGUGAUCCCCCACACUGGUACUGAGACACGGACCAGACUCCUACGGGAGGCAGCAGUGAGGAAUAUUGGUCAAUGGGUGCAAGCCUGAACCAGCCAUCCCGCGUGAAGGACGACUGCCCUAUGGGUUGUAAACUUCUUUUGUAUAGGGAUAAACCUACCCUCGUGAGGGUAGCUGAAGGUACUAUACGAAUAAGCACCGGCUAACUCCGUGCCAGCAGCCGCGGUAAUACGGAGGGUGCAAGCGUUAUCCGGAUUUAUUGGGUUUAAAGGGUCCGUAGGCGGACUUAUAAGUCAGUGGUGAAAGCCUGUCGCUUAACGAUAGAACUGCCAUUGAUACUGUAAGUCUUGAGUAUAUUUGAGGUAGCUGGAAUAAGUAGUGUAGCGGUGAAAUGCAUAGAUAUUACUUAGAACACCAAUUGCGAAGGCAGGUUACCAAGAUAUAACUGACGCUGAGGGACGAAAGCGUGGGGAGCGAACAGGAUUAGAUACCCUGGUAGUCCACGCCGUAAACGAUGCUAACUCGUUUUUGGGCUUUAGGGUUCAGAGACCAAGCGAAAGUGAUAAGUUAGCCACCUGGGGAGUACGCUCGCAAGAGUGAAACUCAAAGGAAAUGACGGGGGCCCGCACAAGCGGUGGAUUAUGUGGUUUAAUUCGAUGAUACGCGAGGAACCUUACCAAGACUUAAAUGGGAAUUGACAGCUUUAGAAAUAGAGCUUUCUUCGGACAAUUUUCAAGGUGCUGCAUGGUUGUCGUCAGCUCGUGCCGUGAGGUGUUAGGUUAAGUCCUGCAACGAGCGCAACCCCUGUCACUAGUUGCCAUCAUUCAGUUGGGGACUCUAGUGAGACUGCCUACGCAAGUAGAGAGGAAGGUGGGGAUGACGUCAAAUCAUCACGGCCCUUACGUCUUGGGCCACACACGUAAUACAAUGGCCGGUACAGAGGGCAGCUACACAGCGAUGUGAUGCAAAUCUCGAAAGCCGGUCUCAGUUCGGAUUGGAGUCUGCAACUCGACUCUAUGAAGCUGGAAUCGCUAGUAAUCGCGCAUCAGCCAUGGCGCGGUGAAUACGUUCCCGGGCCU